rnacentral:rRNA from 1 species
UACGAAGGUGGCAAGCGUUACUCGGAAUUACUAGGCGUAAAGGGCAGGUAGGCGGUCCGGUUAGUCUGUUGUGAAAGCUCCUUGCUUAACGGGGAGAGGCCAACAGAUACUGCCGGACUUGAGUAUAGGAGAGGGUACUGGAAUUCCCGGUGUAGCGGUGAAAUGCGCAGAGAUCGGGAGGAACACCAAUGGCGAAAGCAGGUACCUGGACUAUUACUGACGCUCAGCUGCGAAAGCUAGGGGAGCAAACAGG